GCUGGGCAUGGUGGCACAGGCCUGUAAUCCCAGCAGCUCAGGAGGCUGAAGCAGGAGGAUCAAAGGAGUUCAAAGCCAGCCUGAGCAACUCAGCAAGACCUUGCCUCUG
rnacentral:sRNA from 1 species